GAUGAACGCUGGCGGCAUGCCUAAGACAUGCAAGUCGAACGAGACGACCUUUGGAAGACUGAGUGCUUGCACAAAGUUAGAAGAAGAUCAUCGUCUAGUGGCAGACGGGUGAGUAACACGUGGGUAACCUACCUUCAAGCUGGGGAUAACAGUUGGAAACGACUGCUAAUACCGAAUAAGAUAUAGCAAUAUAUUGAAGAAGCCUUUAAAGCUUCACUUAAAGAUGGGCCUGCGGCGUAUUAACUAGUUGGUGAGGUAAAUGGCUCACCAAGGUAACGAUGCGUAGCCGAACUGAGAGGUUGAACGGCCACACUGGGGAACUGAGACACGGCCCAGACUCCUACGGGAGACAGUCAGUUAGGAAUAUUCGUCAAUGGGGGAAACCCUGAACGAGCAAUGCCGCGUGAGUGAUGAAGGCCCUAAUGGUUGUAAAACUCUGUUGUAUGGGAAGAACGGCUAUAUUAGGAAAUUGAAUAUAGACGUGACGGUACC
rnacentral:rRNA from 1 species